rnacentral:piRNA from 1 species
UCCAAACUCGCUGACCCUCACUCC